GACGAACGCUGGCGGCGUGCUUAACACAUGUAAGUCGAACGGAAAGGCCCUGCUUCUGUGGGGUGCUCGAGUGGCGAACGGGUGAGUAACACGUGAGUAACCUGCCCUUGACUUUGGGAUAACUUCAGGAAACUGGGGCUAAUACCGGAUAGGAGCUCCUGCUGCAUGGUGGGGGUUGGAAAGUUUCGGCGGUUGGGGAUGGACUCGCGGCUUAUCAGCUUGUUGGUGGGGUAGUGGCUUACCAAGGCUUUGACGGGUAGCCGGCCUGAGAGGGUGACCGGCCACAUUGGGACUGAGAUACGGCCCAGACUCCUACGGGAGGCAGCAGUGGGGAAUAUUGCACAAUGGGCGGAAGCCUGAUGCAGCAACGCCGCGUGCGGGAUGACGGCCUUCGGGUUGUAAACCGCUUUCGCCUGUGACGAAGCGUGAGUGACGGUAAUGGGUAAAGAAGCACCGGUUAACUACGUGCCAGCCGCCGCGGUAAGAC
rnacentral:rRNA from 1 species